AUGUCAGUAGUUUUUAAAUUUUAAAAACUAUAUACAAAUAUCUUGGUUUAUUAGCUUUAGAUAAUUUGAUUUACACCCACCUCCCUACCCCUUUGAGAGACCAAUAAAGAACACUUGGAUAACUCUAAUGCUUUAUUAUUAUUAUAAGAAAACUUCUCAUAGGCCUUCCUUCCCUGAGUUUGGUUAGUCAUCAUAAGUUGUCUUCCCUCAUCUUCCAAAAAGAAAGCAUUGAAGGAGGAAAAGGAGUGGAAAUGUGGUAGGUCAGUCAGCACUACUGCAGGUCUGUACUGCUAGUGCAGUAGGCGGUGCUGGUGGUUUGGGGGCUGGAGCAAGGUUUGUGAAGUAGGGCUGACAUGACAGCAGUGCAGUGGAUACAGGGGAGCAGGAUGAGGAGGUGGAGAACCAAGGACCAGGGCUGGGUGUACUCCCCAGAACUGCAUCAUCUAAGGAUGACUCCCCAGCCUCUGAGCUGAGCAGUUGGGCAGGUGGAAGUGGGAUGUACUGACUUAUGGUAGACUGUAGAAGCAGGUGGAAUUAAGAAUCUCUUUUGUCCUUCUUACGUCUGAUGUCUUUUCUCCAAUUCUCUGGGAACGUCUUCCUGUGGUCUAGCUGUGAGCCUCGUCCAAGUCAUGGUCUAAGUAAAAGAUACUUAGCUGGGAUACUAAGGACCCUUUCAGUUAUUUUUAGAAAAAUGAGCUCUGCAUUUGCAGUCUGGAGGUGUAUCUGUUGGCUUUUAGCAACUUCUUUGGUUUUGCUCCCAAUUUUACUCUGUCUGGCAGAUGUUCUCUGUAGUCUGUGAUUUUAGAUUCUCAUUGUUCCAAGUUCCACUACUGAUUGAAACCCCUCCCUUUGACUUUAUUUAUUUUGUUAAUGUCACUGAUUUCCAAAGGAAGGGAAUAAAAUAACUCUUCUCCCACCAUCUUUUCCUGAAGACCCCUAUACAUUGAGUUUUGAACCAUCCUUGUGUGUGUGACUUUGGAUUCUUAUUUUGUUCUGGAAGUCCUCUGUAAAAUCCCAAAAUACAUUAAUAAAGCAUUUUUACUUUCUCUCUUCCCAGGUGUUUCCUGUAAUGUUUCUGUGGAUAAAGAGCAGAAGCUUUCCAAACGUAAAGAUGAAAAUGGUUGGUGAGUAAGGUUGUAUGUUUGUGAUAUUCCUUUAGAGAAAAUGCUUAUUUUCAGAUGAAACUCUUCCAUCAUCCCAUUAUCCCAAGUGAUUACUUAGGCUAAAACUGUUUUCAUGGUAAUUGAAUCAGUAUAAUAUUGGUCAUUCAAAGAUAUCAUUUCUUCAGUGAUGGUGGUUGGUCCCCUUUAGAUAGUGAAAUGGAUGUUUCUGAACUUCUGAGGGCAUAUUCUGACACUGCCUUUAUGGGUCUUUUGGCUUGAUGCUGAAGAGAAUUGAAAUAAAACAGAGAAUAAAAAUAUCUCUAUCAUAAAAUCUCAAAGUCAAGACAGGUGCUACCUAAAUGUCAGGGAACAUAUAGAAAAUCUACGUGUGACUGGGGAUAUAGCUCAGUUGGUAGAGUGCUUGCCUUGCAUGCACAGGGCCCUAGGUUCGAUCCCCAGCACCACAAAAAAAAAGAAAAAGAAAAUCUACGUGUGUACACAUAUAUACAGCUUAUUGGGGUAAACAGAUAAGGCUGCCCAUGGCCAUAAGUAACCAACCCUUGGGGCUGCAGCAAUCCCAGGCCCUGUGUGGCUACUGCAAUGGUUGAGGGGACAGAUAUCUUGCCAUAUCUGCCACCCUUCAGCUGCAAGUGGCUAAAUGGGAAGCUCUGUCUCAUAUAAUUGUUGCCAAAAAUGAGAAAUGUAUCUUACUGAGGUAUAUGAAAUAAUUUUAGGUGGUAGUACACCAGAAGCAUACAUUGAUAAUUAUAUAUAUUUUUUUAAUUUUUAAAAUUUGUUUUGAUAAUUAUAUUUUAAUUACUAAAAAUACUGACUUCAUUUUUAGUAACGAUAGGGUAUCCUAUACAAGGAAUGUAUUUUAAUUUUUAAAAAUUUACUCAAAGGAAAGUUACAUUGAUAAUGAUAUAGGUAAUAUGUAGAUGUGACAAAUAGUGCUGUUGGCAAGCAGGUGAUUAAGACUUUGAAAACUCAGAUCAUUUUUCACUUUGUGGAUGAAGAGGACAAGGCAGGGAGGUUGGAACUUCACUAAGGCUGGGGCUGAUUUACUGAAAGGGCUUGGAUGAUGCUUGGGUCUCUCUGAAGUGUUCUGUCAUCUCUGCUUCCCAAGUCUGGUCAUUUGAUGUCAUCUUCUCCAUUUUCUGCCAUGUCUGUGUACCAGCUGCACUCUUGUAUUCUUAGUGUGUUUUCAUUAAAUUAAUUCAAAAUUGGAGUUUAAAUUUAUUUUUUAAAGAUAUCUUUAUAUUACUUCCAUAAAUUCUUCAUUGAUCAUAACUUUAAAGUAAAUCUCAAGGUAAUGACAAUGAAAUGAAUAUUUUUAGGUCUGGCCAAAAUAUCAUUGCUGACCAGUUCCUGAGGUCUGUUCUCUUACUGUUAAAAAGAUUGGCAAGUAUGAGACACGUGUUAAAAACAAUCUAGUCAAACAGACUUUCUUCUCUUUUAUAAUGAGGAUUGGUAGAUAAUUGAAAAGGAAUUGAUUUUCUCACUCUGUGAUCCAGAGUUAUUUAAUGUUGUUUACUUGUAUCACCUAAACCCAUUGUUCACACUGCCUUAAAUUGUCUUGAGUUUCACUGAGGCCGUGUACCUCCACUUUUGGAAAAACCAUGUUGCUUUGGCAUGUGUGUGCAUUUUUUGAUAGAGCCACCCUACCUGUCUCAACCAAUGUGCUGACGGUAGAAAAGCACUGUGGGCUUUCGAAGGAGGCAAUACUGUUUCCUCUGUACAUUCUGACUCUGCCCUUUGUUAAGGAUCUUUCAACCUAACUCAUUCUUCGUCUAAAAUUACCUCAUGAUUUCUGCACUGCUUUUUCAACAUUGUUGUUCAACGAUAAGGGUGAAUUCUGACAAAAACUUAUCAGCCGUGUCUGCAGGAUGACGCUGUAGUGAUAGUGGCUCUCAGCCUUCAUUGUCCCCUGGGAUUAUUCUACAGGUGUGGUUUAGCCUGUUUUUGUUACUAUAGUGAAAAUACGGGAGGCAGGUACUUUAUAAACAAAAGAGGUUUAUUUUGGCUUGUAGUUCUGGAGAUUCAAGAUCUAGGGGCCACAUUUGGUGAUGGCUUUCUUAUUAGCUGAGUCGCCAGGUGGUACAGAGCACCACAUGGCAGGAGACAGGGAGCUUGCAUGUGUAGAUCUCUUUGCCCCCCUUAUGAUACAGCCACCAGGAUUCAAUCAUGGGGACCAACUCCUAGUGAUCUAAUCUAAUCCUAAUCAGCUCUCAAAGGUCCCAGCUUUGAACACCAUAGGAAGUCUUGGUUUGCAUCCUCUUAAUACCUCAAAAGGGGAUUAGAUUUCAGCAUGAAUUUGAACAAACCAUAUUCACACCAUACUGAAAUGUGAAGGGUUUGUUUGUACUCUGGUGGUGCCUAAACUGUUUUUGAUAAUUCAAGUUAAAACAGUCUUAACCAACGAUCAGUGUGUUUUGAGGUCAACCCCAAGAUUUCUCUGAGUGUUCUUUCUUGGCUGAUGACACUUACAUUAGAUGUUAGUUCACAAGCUUGAUAAUUUUAAGUGGUGGCCUCUUAAUUAUUAUAAGGUUGGUAUGUAGCAUGAGAUUUGCCAUUUUACUGUGGGUAGAUGCUUUUAUAUUUCUUACAUAAAACCUUUUUUAAAAAAAUCCCUUAGGUGCUUAAUAUGGAAUCAGUGGUAUGUUAUUUAGCUAAUUAUAUCACUAGUGAGAACUCAUAAUUUAUCAGGUGGUGAUCCAUUUUGAUCUUUUUUCCCAUAUGUUGUUGCAGUAAUUAGAAACAUCUCCCGGUAUCUGUAGGUAAAUACUCAUGCACUCUAUAAUAUGGUGUCUGGUUCUUAGAAGCUCCUUUUGCUGAUAGAAGGAACAGGUAUUUAGGGAUGAUGACUGGCUCACAUACUGAGCAAGAGUUAAAAUGCUCUUGAAGUAAUAAUCUUUUAGGAUAUAUAUUUCAUGACUGUGAUCAAUAGAUCUAUGUGUUGGGACUGUAGUUUUAGUAUAGCUGUUUAUAGAAUCAUAAAUUUGGAGUGACCAGUGUGACAGGCUUUGGUGAGAACAGUGGAUUUUAAGCCACAUUUAAAGAAGACAGAAAUUGGCAUGGUAGCAGCGGGGUACGUUCACAUGUGUGGAAACUGAGUUGGGAAGUGUCCAUAUGCAGGAACAGUUAUGUGGAGAAGUAAGGGUGGAUCAUUAAGCAAAAUACUUGUGAACCACUCAUGUAGGAUAUCUGUGGUUGACAGAAAAGUACUGUGUCAAAGUGUAAUGUUUUAAGAAAGUUAAUUCUAUCAAACUUAUAUUGAACACAUGUCAGAUAUUUAUUUAACCAGUUAACGAGGGAACCAGAACAUGGCAAAGCUGGAUGAGAGGGAGGGUACUGCCAUUCAGGUCAGAUCUAGUUAAUGUCCUGCAACACAGCAGCAACCAUUGGAGUUAUCUUUUCUACUAGCAGAAAUCAUUUGCAUCUCUACCAGACUUAAAUUAUUUGCAACUUAUCAGUCUUCUAUGAUUCAUCAUUAACUUUAGGCAGUCUUUUUAAGUAAGCAAACACCUUCUACUAGAGCAAGCUAGACAAGCUUACGGCCCAUGGACUGGGCCCUUUUUUGCGAGUACACUUAGUUGGAACCCAGAUUAUUCAGUUAUGUCUUGUCUCUGGCUGCUCCCAUGGUCCAGUGGCAAAGUUGAUAGUUACCACAGAUACAGAUGGCCUGAAAGUCUCGACAACUGUAUAUUUUCUGGUUUAUUAAAGGAAAAAAUUGCCUAGUACCUUUGCCUAGAGCGCUAGUGACCCUUGGUGGGCUUAUUGGUUAGACAGUGACAUUAAAAGGACAUGUAGACUCUUUUAGUCAUAUUUCCAAAGUCAGUCUAAUUUUCUAAAUACUGGACAGAAGAGUUUACAUUCUAGAAGGUAUCAGUAUCCUCUCUUCUUGUCAUUUGUAUGUCCGUGUCAUUAGGUGUGCAAGGCAGUGUGCCUGGAGAUGAAUACAGUGUAAUAUGUCUUAUAAGCAUCUUACCAUCAUUUUUUCCUUCCACGUAUAUGAAUCAAUAUGAUCAGAGUGGCACAGUUUAGAGCUUAAGUACUUAGCAUUUAUGGAUUUAACAAUGGGGUUUUGGUCAUAGUGAGUUGCUAUUUUGCUAAAGUGGUGGCAUUUCUUUAUGACAGCAUUCUCGAGACCCUGUACUGUGCGGGUUGCUCCCUCCAUCUUGGCUAUGUAUUCAGGUGCACUCCCAAGAAUCUAGAUUAUAAGAGGGACUUGUUUUGCCUCAGUGUUGAAGCCAUUGAAAGGUAAGUUUCCUUCUGAUUUUUCAGUUAAGUUUACGGAGAAGAUGAUAUGAAAACAUCAGAACUAAAUCAACACUGUUUGUUAAAAUUUAUUUUCAAGUAAUAGUUUCGGACAGUCAAAUCACUAAUUUUUGUUUUGCUUUGAUCUGACUGCUUUGGCACUGGAAAAGUCAAGCAUUAAAUUAUUAUUAAUUAUUAAAUUAUUACUUUAAAAAAUUGAAUGUAGCUUUGUAAGAUUUUUUUUUAAGCAGUUGUGAGGAUCAGUGUAUGUUUUCCAUUCCUUCCCUCCCUCAGUUUUUAGCUUCCUAGACUUUUGUGAAAAAAUAGGAAUUUCAAAAUUGGUUAGGAAAGAAGUCUCUGGUGUUCUGGAAAGGUAGAGGCACAAAGUCCUAACUAUUUCCAAUAGUAAAGAAUGGUCUACUUCUCUUUGAGAUACACAAGAAAAUGUCUUGAACAAGGAGAUAUACAAGGAAAAGUAACAUUGUUCAUGUAAUAAAAGACUUAAGAUUUCUUUAGAGUAAUGGUUAGGAAGCAUUCAGUUCUGGUCUAGUGACAGAAUCAGGGAAUUUCAGGUAUCUAAAUGGUCUUCCAAUUUAUUGGCCUUUUUAAAUGGGAAGCAUAAAAUUAAGUAAAUCUUUGACCCCAGGGCAUUUUCACUCAUCCUGAUAAAGAUGUUGCCCUCGAGAUUUUUAAGCAUGCCUAAGAAAACUUGUAUUAUAUUAGGAAAGAGAAACAAAUUAAGAAAAGUGCCUAUACUUUCAUUAUUUGAGGCAUUUCAUUCCCUGUGUUGAAUUUCUUAGAUUUUUCUCUUUAAAAAAUUUAGAACAGUAUUCUUUUUAUGAAUUUCUAAUCCAUUUACUCCUUGUUAAAUCACUGCAGUUUUGAACUCCCCGCCCCUUUUUUUGAAGCUAGACAGUUUUAGAUCAAAAUUUUAUAAUCCACAAACUUUUCAGAGGCCUUAGACAAAAGGAUAAUAUAACAAGUUCUGUUCCUUGCUACAAAGCCUGUAGGAGUGUCUGGCGAGAUGUCUGUUUUGGUUUUAAUAUGUGAAUAGAAGACGUGGGCCCAGACAAAUGCUACCUUAAUAUCCAUGAGAAUUUUACCAUGUCUGUGAAAGUACAGGUAUAAAAGACGUGAAAUUUGAAUCCAGCAGAGUUGGUACAAAACUUUCAAAAGUGAUAUUAUCUGUGUAAAAGAAAAUGUGUAGGAGGUUUUACCCCAGAAGAUCAUAAUAUUGAAGCUGUUUUUCCUGAGCAGUUGCAUUUAGAAUCCAAGUUACUUUUGGGAGAGGAUUUGAAUGCCGAGGAUUCUGUUUUUAUUUGAGAAGUAGAUACCUUCUGUAAUGUUUAUUUAUGGUUUUAGAAGUUACUUAAAUGCCAUUUAGUUUUUCUACCUCAUCUCCUUUUUUUAUUUGAUUUUAUAAACAGCAUGUUAAUUGCCUUCUGCAGUUUUGCCCAUAGUGCUGUUUUUUUCAGGAAUAUAAUUUAUAGGAUUUCCAAGGGCAGACUUAUUUGACAAAAGAAGCAACAUCAAAAUUGUUACAUGUAAUAAAAGACUUCUACUAAAGAAAUGCAAAAGAAUCAAAUUUCCUUACAUGUCUAGGUUUAUUUGGUUGCCAACACUUGGGCCUGUUUUCCACCUGUUACCAGGUCAUUUUUUCUGCUAUAAAUACUUUUCCAAGCCAUAGUAUCUCACGACCUGGAGAGUUGAGCCACAUAUGACUUGGAGCAUAACUGUUGAAACUGCGCAAAUUUUGGAAAGCAUGAGUUGACCCCACAAAUUAUUAUUUAUUAAAAGUCAACUUUGAAGAUACAUUUCCAAAAUUUAUGUAAGACCAUAAAGCAGUGGCUUCUUCAGGACCACCAUCUUCUUCACGGUCUUUAAACUUGUCUUUAGAGUUUUGAACUCUAACAUUUUGCCACUCAAUAAAGAGCAGGUUUAUUCCAGUAAUGAAAUGUUUGUGGACAGUGAAUAUGUAGAAGUAUCUGGACAAAGCUGCUGUACAGAAUGACAUGAUUUUGUGUAGUACAGCUUCCUAGAUAAGCUUUUACCAAAAAUAGCUGUUUUGUUUGUUUACUUGGUAUAUAAUGUACUUAGAGUUUUAGUAUUAACUGACAUAAAUUUAGCAUUUGUUUCUUUUACAUGUUUUAACUUUGUACUGUGUUACACUUCAGUUAUACUUUAGGGUCCUCUGAAAAACAAAUUAUGCCAGAAGAUAAAGAGCUUUUUAAUCUUGAAAGCCGAGUUGAAAUAGAAAAGUCUCUAAAACAGGUAAUUUUAUUCUGAAUGUUUUAUGUCUGUACAAACAAUUUCCUGUCAGUGAAAAAGUUCUCUACGUAGUGAGACUCAGAAUGCCAUCCGUUUUGAUCUUAGCCCUUUAUGGCAACAGAGUGCGUAUUUCAGUUGUCAGUAGAGUUGAAUUUUGGGAGGAACUGAUCUGUAAAUUAAGCUGAGACUUUAUCAACAAACUAGUGAGGACAUUUUAUGCCAAAAUCAAGUCAGUAUGUAUUCUAAAAUGAUUAAACUAGAAAUAUAGCUUUGAAUCAAAUCACUAUUUUAUUGGAGUCAGUUUCCUUGGUAUAAACACACUUGUAUUGAAUGUUAAUGUCUUCUUGUGGUCAAACAGGCAAGAUGGUGGCGAGUGAAUAGUUGAAUUAUAUUUUAUUUAAAUAAAGUUACGGCCCUAAAUAGUUUUUGUUAAAUACUGAAUAUCUAUUUUGUAUAAUGAAUAACUUGAAAAUUGCAUUAACAGUGUAUAUUUUAAUUGCAUUUAACCAUGUAUAAUUUUAGCCAUAUAUUCAUGCUUGUGUUUAUGUUUUUUCAACUCUUUAGAUGGAAGAUGUCUUGAAAGCAUUGCAAACGAAGCUGUGGGAGGUUGAAUCAAAAUUGUCCUUUAUGAGCUGCAAAAGCUGAACUCUGUUCCAUGUUGCGUGUCUCUUGUUCUUUCCCAUCCAUUAUGUCUUAAAUGAGAAGAAUUGUAGAAUCAUUUCUGCAGCUGUAUUUUAUGGCAAAGAGGUGAUUAUUUCCCACAUUAGAAUUUUUAAGCUAUUUUGUGAUACUUGCUGGAAUUGAAAUUUAGGAGUUUGUAUUUUGAUAAGAAACUGGGCUGAGUUUUUAGAAUUAUUUUCUUUCUGUGUCAGACUCAUUAUUAUUGAUUUUCUAUUUUUUAAAGAAUAAUUUUGCUUUUAAUACUUUGGACAGUGGGCUGGGAUUGUGGCUCAGCGGUAGAGUUCUCAUCUAACACGUGCAAGGCCCAGGGUUCAAUCCUCAGCACCACAUAAAAAUAAAUAGAUAGAAUAAAGAUAUUAUGUCCAACUACUUCUAAAAAAUAAAUGUUUAAAAAAAUACUUUGGACAGUAUUAAAUAGUGAAUGGUAAAAAUCUUAAAGAGUUCUCUCUCUCUCUCUCUCUCUCUCUCUCUCUCUCUCUCUCUCUAUAUAUAUAUAUAUAUAUAUAUAUAUAUAUAUAUAUAUAUUUAGUUGUAGAUGGACACAGUACCUUUAUUUUAUUAUUAUUUUUUUAUGGUGCAGGGGAAUCGAACCCAGUGCCUCACGCAUGCUAGGCAAGUGCUCUACCACUGAGCCACAGCCCCGGCCCUUAAAGAGUUUUUUCUGCAUCUUGCGUGAUUGAAUCUUCUUUAAAAACUAAUGCUUAAAGUUCUCUGGAGAACCUGUCUAUUGAGUUAUUUGUCAGAACCAUGUGGAAACUUAGACAAGAACAGAGUAGCACAAAUGUAUAUAAGGGUCCCACUUUAUGCUACUUAUUUACUACUGUAUGCUAAUGAAAUUUAUCAGAGAGUAAUAAGUAUCUCUAGGGGUAGGAUUCUGGGAGAAUUUUUUUUUUUUUUUUUUGGUUUUCUGUAGUGUAAGACAUUUAUUAAUAGUAAGCAUGUAUUAUUUUUAUGACCAGGAAGAGAAUAAAGAUUAAAACAAAGUGCUCUAAGAUUGAUUUUUACGAGCUGAAUCGUGGUAUUUGAGGUCAGAAAUCCUGGUGCCAUGGAAUUUGCAUACUCGCUGAGCAUGGAACCAUGGCAGGCCUCUCAGGAAUGUAAAGGUGACCCCAGAUUUCCCCAGGGCUCUCUUUGUUUCUGGAUGCAAAUGAAGUCACAUAAAAAUAUGUACAAGUACUUCUCUUAACUUCUGCUUAGAAGUUCUAAUAUUCCUGAGAAUAACAGAAUUAUUGUGUCAAUGUCCCAAGUCAUAUUGUCUUGUCAUUCAAAGUCCUAGUGUAACUGCUUUAUUAGCCAUGUGGCCUGGGGCCCAUCAAUUUGAUUCUCUUUUUCUCAUCUGUAAAAUAAUUACCUACCUUUCUUACAUCAAGGAUGAUCAAAUUAGAAGAUGUACUUGAUCGUACUUUGAAGACAGGCAUCACAAAAAUAAAUGAUAAAGAUUUAGUCCUCAGGAGACUUGACUUGAUUUAACUUCUAGCUGGCUAUAAAGGCCAGUUUGAAUUGUCAACUUGAUUGGAUUAAGAGAUGCCAACGAUUAAGAGGUUUAUGGGUAUGUGGGUGAGAGUGUGUCUAGGAAUGAUUGGCAUGUGGGAUAGCCAACUGAAAUGGAGACCUCCCUAAGCAAGGACAGCACCAUCCUAUAGGAUGAUGGCUUGGAUAGAAUAAAAGAAGAGCAAGGAAGCAGAUGCAAGCUCCAUUCUUUUUGAACAACUUCUUGAUUGCUGCUGUGAUCAUCUGAGGAUAUCGGCUCUUGCUUUUUCACUCUUCCAAAGCGUACUCUGCCAGUGAUUCUUCAGAAGCCUUCCAUCUUGUGCUAGGGUAGCUUGUUGAUCCCUCUUGUUCUGGGGCUUUAGCCUCUUGGACUUCGAAGCUACUGAUUCUUCCAGCUCUCUAGCUGGCAGAUGGCCAUUGUGGGUUAUCCAGCAUGUGGUAUCUUAGGACAACCUAAUAAAUCCCCUUUUUAUGAUUAUACUUCCUGCUGAUUUUGUUCCUGUAGAGAGAACCCUAAUACACUGGCCUACCCAUAAGAUUGGUGGAUAUGAAAGAAAAAAAAAAUGCACUCAAUUAUCUAGUUUCUUUUCCAGUUACAAAUAUGUGAACAUUGAGGAAAUUUUAAAAAAUAGGAAAAUAGUGGAAAGAAAAAAAUAAAACCACAAGUCUGACAAAGAUAAUUAUGAUUCACACUUUUGAGUGUGGCCAUUUUAAUAUGGGAAUUUGGGAUCAUACUGGACAUAAUUACUUUUACUUAAAAUAUUUCCUGAUAUAUUUCUACAUUAUUAAAUAGAGGUUGAACAGCCGUAAUAUGAAAAUCCAAGAUUUGAAUUGCUCCAAAAUGUAAAAAAAACCUUAAAAUCUAAAACACUUCUAAGUCCUAAACACUUUGGAUAACGAAUACUCAACCUAUAAUCCCUUAUACCCUGAGUUUUGUCUACUUAUAAUGAAACAUCAUAUUUAAAAACUUGUCCAAGGGGCUGGGGAUGUGGCUCAAGUGGUAGUGCACUCGCCUGGCAUGCGUGCGGCCCGGGUUCGAUCCUCAGCACCACAUACAAAAAACAAAGAUGUUGUGUCUGCCGAAAACUAAAAAAUAAAAGACCUC
rnacentral:lncRNA from 1 species